ensembl:lncRNA
GGAUUCUCUAGGCAAGAAUACUGGAGAGGGUUGCCGUUUCCUUCUCCUCCAAAUGUGCUAGGCUGCUGUAUGGAAUGACCACCGAGUGGGUAGACGCAACAACAUGAAGUUAGUGCCUCCCAGUUCUGAAGGCCGAAAGUCCGGCGUGAGAGGGUGGACAGGGUUAACGCCUUCUGAGGAAAGAGUUGGUUCCAGGCCUCUCUCCUUGGCUCCAACCCAGCCAUCUUAUCUCUUUAUCUCGUCAUCUUAUCUUCUGUCCAUGCAUCUGUUUCCAUGUCCACAUUCCCCUUUUUAUAAGGACACCAGUCAUCCAGGAUUGCCACCCAGACUCAUGACCACAUUCUAAUUCAAUUACCUACGUCACGACCUUCUCUUCAGGUGCAGCAUGUGAGUUUCCAGCAGACAGAAUCUAGUUUCCUGCGUGCGUGCAUGCUCAGUCGCUUCAGUCGUGUCUGACUCCGUGAUUGACCUCUGUCCAUGGCAUUCUCCAGAAACAUCUCUUGCCCACAAUGGAAGGCACCUCAAAAUAUCAACAACCACAAAAAAAACUGACUAACUGAAGCUGGACUAGGAAAAAAAAAAAACAGGAAAAUGUGUUCUAUUCAAGUGGUUGCUACACACAUCAUCAGGUGUUACUGGUUGUUGCAGUUUAGUCACGGAGUUGUGUCCGACUCUCCGAUCACAAGGACUGCCAGGCUCCUCUGUCCUUGGAAUUCUCCAGGCAAGAAUUCUAGAGCGGGUCGCCAUUUUCCUCCUCCAGGGGAGUCUCCCACCCACGGAUUGAACCCGCAUCUCCUGCAUUGGCAGGUGGAUUCUUAACCACUGCGCCACCUGGGAUCCCCCCAAAAUAUAUAUACAUGUAUGUAUGUGAGUGAAGUCGUUCGGUCGUGUCCAACUCUUUGUGACCCC